rnacentral:rRNA from 1 species
GGAUAACGUUUGGAAACGAACGCCAAUACCGCAUGAUAUUAUCUUAUCGCAUGAUAGGAUGAUCAAAGGAGUGAUCCGCUGAAAGAUGGGCUCGCGUCCGAUUAGGUAGUUGGUGAGGUAACGGCCCACCAAGCCGACGAUCGGUAGCCGGACUGAGAGGUUGGACGGCCACAUUGGGACUGAGACACGGCCCAGACUCCUACGGGAGGCAGCAGUAAGGGAUAUUGGUCAAUGGGGGAAACCCUGAACCAGCAACGCCGCGUGAGGGAAGACGGUUUUCGGAUUGUAAACCUCUGUCCUCUGUGAAGAUGAUGACGGUAGCAGAGGAGGAAGCUCCGGCUAACUACGUGCCAGCAGCCGCGGUAAUACGUAGGGAGCGAGCGUUGUCCGGAUUUACUGGGUGUAAAGGGUGCGUAGGCGGCUAUGCAAGUCAGUAGUGAAAUCCAUGGGCUUAACCCAUGAACUGCUAUUGAAACUGCACAGCUUGAGUGAAGUAGAGGUAGGCGGAAUUCCCGGUGUAGCGGUGAAAUGCGUAGAGAUCGGGAGGAACACCAGUGGCGAAGGCGGCCUACUGGGCUUUAACUGACGCUGAGGCACGAAAGCGUGGGUAGCAAACAGGAUUAGAUACCCUGGUAGUCCACGCUGUAAACGAUGAUUACUAGGUGUGGGGGGACUGAACCCUUCCGUGCCGGAG